CUGUAAUCCCAGCUACAUGGGAGGCUGAGGCAGAAGAAUCGGUUGAACCCGGGAGACAGAGGUUGCAGUGAGCCAAAAUCACACCACUGCACUCCAGCCUGGGUGACAGAGUGAGACUCCAUCUUGAAAAAAUAAUAAUAUUCAAGCUAAACUUGUGAUGGCCUACGGCAAUUUAAUUCUAGCCUUUGAAUGAAACAUUGCAAAUGGAAAGAAACAAGUCUUCUUAUGUAUGUAUGUAUGUACGUAUGUAUGUAUGUAUGUAUGAAUUUAUUUAUCUUGAGGCAGGGUCUCUCUCUGUUACCCAGCCUGGAGUGUAGUGGUACGAUCACAGCUCACUGAAGGCUUGAUCUCCUGGGCUCAAGCCAUCCUUCCGCCUCAUUUUUUGAUUUUUUGCAGAGAUGAGGUCUCAAUACGUUGCCCAGGCUGGUCUCGAAUUCUCGGCCUCAAGUGAUCCUCCUGCUUCAGCCUCCCAAAGUGCUGGGAUUACAGGCAUGCCACUGCACUUGGCCUCCCUUAUUUAUAUUUUUAUAUGAUAUACAUCCAUAUAUUUUCUUUCUUUUUUUCUGUCUCUGUUUUUUUUUUUGUUUGAGACAGAGUCUCACUCUAUCACCCAGGCUGGAGUACUCUGGCACAAUCAUGGCCCACUGCAGCCUUGACCACCCGGGCUCAAACAAUCCUCCUGCCUCAGCUCAGCCUCCCAAGUUUCUUAAACUACAGGUACAUACUACCAAGCCCAACUAAGUUUUUAAUUUUUUGUAGAGGUGGGGUCUCACUACAUUGCCUAGGCUGGCCUCAAACUCCUGAGCUCAAGCAAUCCUCUCACCUUGGCCUCUCAAAGUGCUGGGAUUACAGAUGUGAGCCACUGUGCUUGGCCCUGUGUAUUUUCUUUUUCUAAAUUACUCUAUCUACUUCCUCAAAUAUUUACUGCUUUAAAUUUUUCAUCUCAUUUUCCCAUUGGGUGUGUAUGUAGGACCAAUCUUAGGGUACAGGGACCUUUUACAUCCUGGUGGGUGAGAAAUAGUUGCAUCUACAAGUAGGAAAAAUAGCUGUCCUGCAGCCAACUAUUCUCCAUGUUUGGCAGAGCUGAUAGGAUAAGAAUGGUUAAGGAUGGAAUCAUGUGCAAAUUGGUGACACUCUUCAAAAUCAACUGUUGUCUUUCCCAUAGCUGUUCUAGUUGUGGUGGGAGUUAACUUCCCAGCAUUGAAGGUAUUCAAUGUUUCCAGGUGUUAGGGAGAACACGGACUGAGAGUAUAGACCCAAUUUCCUUUAAGAGGGUGCUUAGCUAAUGCCAGAAUGCAAAGCCAGAGUACAUCAUCUAAAGCAGGGUCCCCAGUCCCCAGGCUGCAGACGGGUACUGUUCCAUGGUUAAAAGGUUAAUUGUGUAUCUUUCACCUCACACUAACCUUCCCCAUCUGAAAUACAUGAAACCCAUAUGGCCUAUUAUCAAGGCAUGGUGCAACAUAGGGCUCUGGAGUCAAAUGACAUUAAACUGAGGGCUUAACCACUUGGGAGCUGAGAAAGCUUACCUGACAUCAUGAGCCUCCACUUCCUCAUCUAAAAAUGGAGUAAGAGUACCUUUUUGUGGGGUUGUUCUGGGAAACAGAAAUAUUAUUUGUGGAGCACUUAGAGUGCUUGGAAGAGGCCUGUCUGUAGCUUCAGAAACAAGCCCAGAUCUGCAAAAUGGCCUUAGGAGGCCCAGUUGGUCCAGAUUCCAGAGUGGUAUAAAGACUCAAAUCCAUCUGAACUAUCAGUUCAUUGUGAUAGCCUGACCAAAUUCUCAGUGCAUUUGUAUCAUAAAAGAAUCCUCUUUUUGUGCUAAGAUACAUGUGAGUCUUGUUUAGAAGAAUGAACACAAUCCUUCCUAGUAUUCACUUGAAUUGCAGGGACACUUUUAGAAAGGGAAGUGGCUUUUUAUCUAUAUUUGUCCAUUUUCUAUAGAAUAGACAGUUGCUACCUUAAGUAAUAUUGACUCCAGAAUCUUGAAUUUUUUUUUUUUUUUAGAGACAGUGUCUUGCUAUGUUGCCCAGGCUGAUCUCGGAUUCCCAGGCUCAAGCAAUCCUCCCGCCCCAGUCUCUUAAGCAGCUGGGAUUAAAGGCGUGUGCCACCGUGCCUGGCCUGAAUCCUGAAUUCUUAAUCAGCCAUCUCCUGAGGUGCAGACAAGUAUAUGUUACAGUUAACAUGUAGUUCUACCUGCAUAUUCUCUAGACAGCUCACACUCACCUCCCGCAAAAUUUGCUUUUCUUUCUCUGGAAAUCUCCUCUUUCUGUUUGGGUUAAUGGUACCAUGCCAGAAAUUUGGGUUUCACCCUAGAAUAGGCCCUCUUCUUAUCCCUCCCAUGGAGUUGGUUCCACAGUUCUGAUGGUUUUUGUUUCCUUUCUAUCUAGCUUCUUUCCAUCCCAGCUCAUAUGCCUUAGUUCCAGCCCUCGUCACCCCUCCUCCUCUUGGUCAGCCCUCUCCUGACCUAGUCUGUCAGCCACCAGCCUACCCACCUCACCCUAUCCUCUACGUUGUUCCAAGAGUCAUCUUCAGAUUGACAAAUGAUCAUAUCAGCCCCCUAGGCUUGAAGCCCACACUGGCUCCAAAUGUCUACAGGAAAACGUGCCCAUUCCAUGGUGGGAGUUACAGGUUUGCUGUAACAGGAACAGGUCUUGUUCCUAUUAUUUUUCCCUCCUUGUAUUCCCCUCUCAUUCUUCAAAAUGAAGCUCAAGUUUUACUCCCUCUGGAAACCUUCUCUGACCUCUCCAGGUAAAUCUGAUCCUCUCUUUUUUUUUUUUUUAGAUACAGGCUCUCACCUCUCACUGUGUCACCCAGGCUGGAGUGCAGUGGCGUGAUCACAGCUCACUGCAGCCUCAAUCUCCCAGGCUCAGGUGAUUCUCCCACCUCAAACUCCCAAAUAACUGGGACCACAGGCAUGUGCCACCCUGCCUGGCUAAUUUUUGUAUUUUUUGCCACUCACUAUGUUGCCCAGGGUAGCCUUGAACUGCUGGGCUUAAGUGAUCCUCCCAUCUCAGCUUCCCAAAGUGUUGGGACUAUAGGCAUGAGCGGCUGUGCCUGGCCUUAUCCUCUCUUUGCUGGAAUCCUCCCAUAUCUGGGACCUGGCAUUGCAAUGACUUACUUAUACCUCUGUUUUCCCUACUAAACCCUGAGCUCCUUGAAGGUCGAGACCUUGUAUUAUUCAUCUCUGCAUCCCUAGUACCUAUCACAAAAGAAAGUCCCAUGAAUGUUUUUUACUGCAUGAAUUCUGUUACUGGCACAACCUUACCACAACCCCAAAGGGUAGCAAGCCUCCCUCAAAAAAAUCCCCAGAGUAAUGAAAAUACAAAGUCUGCUUGUUCAAAAUUAUGGUGCGAAUAAAAAAGGAAAGGGAGGAAGUGAUGGAGUAAAGUUCAGAUUAAAAAUAAACGGAAAGUCACAACAGUCGAAAGGUGGAAAAAAACCGCAAAUGCCCAUGAACUGAUGAAUGGAUAAACAAAAUUUGGUGUGUGUGUAUAUAUGUGUACAAACUUCCUUUUUAUGAUGAAAUAGUAUUUCAUUGUGUGUGCACAUGUACACACACAAUUAAAUAGUAUUUCGUCAUAAAAAAGAAGGGAAUUUGCACGCAUGGAUAAACCUUGAAAAUACUAUGCUAAGUGAAUAAGCCAGACACAAAAGAUCAAACAUGGUCUGAUUUCACUUACAUCAGGUAGCUACAACAGGGAGACUCACAGAAAGGGGAAGUAGAAUGGAGGUUACUAGCGUCUGGGGCAAGGGGGAGUGGGGAAACAGGGAGUUACUGUUUAAUGAGUACAGAGUUUCUGUUUGGGAUGAUAAAAAAGUUCUGGAAAUAAAUUGUGUUAAGUCCAUUUACAUAAUAUAAUAAAUCUACCUAAUGUCACUCAAUUAUAUACUUAAAAUGGUUAAAAUGGCCAAUUUUAUGUUAUGUAUAUUUCACACCAAUUUAAAAAAAAUAGAGAGGCAGGCUCUCCCACUCCCUAGAUCAAUUAGAAUUCUGGAUACACGGACUGUGUUGGUAUGAUUAUCCUGCAUGUCCUAAUAAAUAAAUGUUCAUAAACUGAAGAGAUGCAGACAAUUGCUGGCUAAAGUUAGGUUUGGGCACUACUGGCAUAUAGCACAGUGGAUGAGAAACACUUUGAACACAAAGUGCCUGGAAUUAAAUCCUGACUGCAACAUCUAAUAGUUGCGGCCCUGGGCAAGUCAUUUAACCUUUAGAAGGCUUAGUGCCCUCAACAGUAAAGUGGUGACGGAUGAGAGUUCUUUCUUCACAGGUUGUUGUGAGGAUAAAAACAAAACUAUGAAUAUAAGGAGUUUAACACAGUGCCUGGCACACUGUGAGCAAUAAACCAUUAUUUCCUUUUGAAUUUAACAGUCUAGGGCAGGGUUUCUCAAAGUCCUCACUCCUGGCAAUUUGGGUGGGAGAAUGCUUUGUAGUGUGUGUGUGUGGGGUGGCUGUACUGUGCAUUGUAGAUUAGCAGCAUCCUUAACCUCAACCCAGGAGAUGCCAGGGGCAUCCCCCCAGGUAUGACAAUCAAAAAUGUCUCCAGAGAUUGCCAAAUGUCCCCUGAGGGGCAAAACUGCCCCUCCCCCCCCCCCCCAUUGAAAACCUGUAAUUUAGGAUAAAGCUCUGCUCGUGAUGACAUAAGACUAAGUUCUGAAGCCUCAAGACAGGCUAAAUUCAUCAGUCACUGUGCAUAGACUAUCAUGAACAGCAACUAAGAGCGGUGAGUUGGAUGUUUGCAGUUUCUGUGUGGUAGCAUCAACCAAAGCCAUGUUCAAAUCUUUUUUUAAGUCUCAAUAACCUUUCCAAUAACUAAUUAUGCUUCCCUUUAGACAUCGAAAGGGAAGGCAGAAAAAAUAAAAAUUACAUAAAGUAUGGCAAAAUGAAAUAACUGCAUUGGAGGUCACUUAUUAAAUACAAUCAGCACACCAAUUUCAAUGUCAAGAUCCAAUUAUUUUAGGAGAAAUAAGAGUCGACUUAUUAUUUCAUUCAUUAUUCCAGGUAUUCAACCUGGAAUACCCUCUCUAAAAUGUUACACGAGCAAAAAAUUAACUUCUUGUUCUUCAGGGUAUUGAAGGGGAGGGAGGUAUCUGUUUUAGCAGCUUAGCCCACCCUGACUUGCACAGCUAGUACUUCAUAGUUUCUCUAGGAAAAAAAAAAAAAAGCCCAAGAAUAUACGCCUAAAAUAACAAACAGGAACUGACUUUAACAGGUUGAUACAUUCAGAAAAACAUUCAACUUCUGAAAUUCAGAAAAUUUUAUGACUCAGAGUGCCAUAUUUUAUCUUUGUACUAAAAAGAAUUUGCUAAGAAAAGAAUAAACAAAUACUUGAGGAUACUUUUAAAUCUGGGCUUCAUCUUUAAAUCUUUCGGUCAUCCUUGGCUUCCUUUGGUCCAGGCCCUCUUCACCUCCUUACUGGCUGCCUCCCACAGGUCUUCUUGCCUCCUUUCUCUCUGCCAAGCUCUCCUGUACACCAUGCUGCUGACACAAUUUCCUUUCAGCAUGUUCUGUUCCUGCUCAGAAACUUUCAACUCCUUCCUAAUAUUUAGGGCUACAUUCUCAAUUCCUUGAUUAGAUACAAUGCAUACAGCAAACAGGCCUCAACAGGCCUCAAACAUGUCUUCUUUCUUUACUAUUUUACUUCUGCUAAGAAGAUAGAUCUAUUUACUGUAGAAGGAGCAAAAUCGACCAUUUGUUGUCCAUCUUGGAUUCAUGUCAUUAAACAACAGACCAGAGCAUGGUGAAGCUAGAAAGGACCUUGGAAGCUAGGUUCAAUUCUUCCAUUUUAUAAAUGAGGAGCUCAGGCUCAGGUAGUUUGAGGGAGCUAUACAAAGUCACAAAGGCAAGAGACUUCCAGGGAAACUCCUGACCACUCCAAACUUCAGUCAUUUCUCCCACCUUUAAAAAUUGCAAGUUACUUUCUGUUCUGAUCCUAGGGCACUGCUUACAUAGUGCAUAUAAGAUUUCUGUCAUCAGUAUCCAAAGGGGGCAGGGGGAAUCUCAACCCAUUCAUGGCUAUUUAUUUUACAUUUCUGGGUUUUUGUCCAUAGGAAAACAGUGAUAUGCUAUUCUAGUUUAUUCAUAGCAGCUAGCACAGUGCUAUCUUCACAGUAGGUGCUAAACAUUUUAAAAUGUUGCUUAUUUAAUAAGUGACAAGAAUAUCAAUUAUAUUUCUUCAUAAAAGAAAGGAAUAACAAUUUAUUUAAACAUUUUAUAUAAUUAAAACUUUUCAGCUAGGAGCAGCAGCUUGCACCUGUAAUCCCAACUACUUGGGAAGCUGAGGUGGGAGGGCAGCUUGAGCCCAGGAGUUUGAGGCCGCAGUGAGCUACGUUUGCUUCCCCGCACUCCAGCCUCAGUGACAGAGUGAAACCCCGACUCUUAAAAAAAAAAAAAAAAUUCCCGAUUCCUGAGUCUGCUCUCCUACAAAUCAGACCAUUGACACACUUUGGCUAGAGGUUUUAUGACUAUGAGCUUAUUCAUUUUGUUUCCUGAAAUUUUCCUUUAAAAGAAAUAAAUUUACAUACAUACUCAUAUGAAAUAUAUAUUUUAUUUCUCUAUAUUCUGUUAUUGAGUUUAUUCAAACAAGGUUAGGGGUGUUAUCAAAUGCUUAAACUGAGUUAAAAGGAUCAUGCAACUUACCAUUAUUUAUUAACUUAAAAGGAACUUCUCUCUCACUUCAGUGAAUAUUUUUUAAAUGCACAUUUUAAAUGGUGUAAAAUAACAUAAUUAAUCCAGUUUUGAAUCUUAAAAAGUGUUAGUGUUUUAUUAAUUUACUCACACAGGUUAUCCGAAAAGGAUCUUCUGUUCCCCAUCAUGCUUUUAAUAAAAUUAACUAGUAUAAGAAUCUCCAUAAACGAAGUACCAAAAUGUUUACAUUUAUAUUUCUGAAGCGCUAAUAACAUGACAAAUACAUGCUGCACAUUUUAUGUCUUAACUCACUUAAUUCUCCCAAAGAGUCAAGUCCUAAGCGUUAUGAUCAUCUCUUUAAAAAAAAAAAAAAUCCAAAAAUUGGGUAUCAGAGAGGAUAAGUAACUUGCUCAAGGUCGUACAGCUAAUGAGUGGUGGAACUGGGAUUUCAGUGUAGGCCUGACCUGGUUUUAAUCACACUGCUGUAACAACACCUGGAUUGUUUUUGUGCAAGACUUUCAAAACUGACAGAAGGAGAAGAACAAGAAAAACUCAACUGAGAAUGGAAACUCUUAAAAAUAUAGAUUAAAAUAAUUUGGAGGGUAAAAGCAAAUGAAAUACUUUCCCAAGGAUACCUCUGACAAAAUUUGUAAAAAGAGAAUUUCCUCUGGUACUAGAAAAUUCAUGUCCUCUUACUGGGCACUGGCAAAUUUGAAAAUUCCUCUUCUGCCUUUUGUAGAGCUGGGCGCACUGGGCUCAGACACAUUUAUCAGCUGCUAUCUGGUGACUUCAUCAUUUUGGUGGAAUUUCAAAGAACAUUAAUUUAGUUAUUUAAAAACAUACUUCAAAUUUUUUUAAAACAAUGUAAUCUUUCCUUUGCAACUGUUUUUAGAAAAAUGUCUAGAAUUAGAAACGGCCAAAUAACUUCACGAUAUUAUUUUAUUCUAUUUGUGGUGUUCUUAACAGCUCCCACUCCUCAAAACAACCACACACAUCACCAAAAAAAUGCACCAAUGACAAUCUGCCACACUCCUCCCACAACUUGACAUUAUAUGCACUGUACUGCUACCCUUUUCAGCCCGGGACAAUGGAGUGUCCAGGCAAGAAGGAAACCACGGGUGACUAUAACAUUUUCCUUUAGAUUUUGUGACAUUGGCAAAUAUGCAGUUGCAACUACCAUCAGUUACACAAGUAAUGUUCAUUUUUUCCUCUACAAGAAAAAAAAAAACAAAACCCAGAUGUACUCUUUCACUCUAAUUAGGCUUUCACUAAUUUUCAGUAAAAAAGACUAUGGUGACAUAUCCUGAAGAAGGAGGUAUCCAAUAAAUAUGCACCAACAAAAGAGCAGUGGAAUUCCGCGCUGGGUACCGGAAAUAGGGCAGCACUAGCGGAGGUGGGGAAUGCGCUUCCAAGGGAGGCGGAACGCAGAGGGGAUGCGAGAUG
rnacentral:lncRNA from 10 species